rnacentral:rRNA from 1 species
GACGAACGCUGGCGGCGUGCCUAAUACAUGCAAGUAGAACGCUGAAGGAGGAGCUUGCUUCUCUGGAUGAGUUGCGAACGGGUGAGUAACGCGUAGGUAACCUGCCUGGUAGCGGGGGAUAACUAUUGGAAACGAUAGCUAAUACCGCAUAAGAGUAGAUGUUGCAUGACAUUUGCUUAAAAGGAGCAAUUGCAUCACUACCAGAUGGACCUGCGUUGUAUUAGCUAGUUGGUGGGGUAACGGCUCACCAAGGCGACGAUACAUAGCCGACCUGAGAGGGGGAUCGGCCACACUGGGACUGAGACACGGCCCAGACUCCUACGGGAGGCAGCAGUAGGGAAUCUUCGGCAAUGGACGGAAGUCUGACCGAGCAACGCCGCGUGAGUGAAGAAGGUUUUCGGAUCGUAAAGCUCUGUUGUAAGAGAAGAACGAGUGUGAGAGUGGAAAGUUCACACUGUGACGGUAUCUUACCAGAAAGGGACGGCUAACUACGUG